CCGCGCCCCCCGCGCCCCCGGGCGCAUUUCCACGCCGAGAGCGCGUCGGCAGCCCCGGCGACCUGCACACGCACGGCGGGACCCACCUUCCAGCCUGAUCUUUUGACCAGAAAGGGAUUAAAAAGUUGCCCAUCCUGAUGGCUGUGCCUGCCGGUUGCAUGGAGCCUCAUUCAGGAUUUCCUGAGCCUCUUGGAUUUACAGUGAUACUCAGCUGCGGGGAGUGGAGGAAGCAUUCUCUGGAAUCACAGACGGCACACGUCUGGAUGCUAAUGAUGGUUUUACGGAUGGCCCCGGCUGAGUGCUUGGCAGAUCCCUGCAGCCUGGAUGCCUGUGGGGUCAGAGGACCGCGGCUUCCUGGGACGGCGGAGGUCUCUGCCCUUAUCUUCAUGCAAAUGUUCAGUUGGGUUGCUGCUAGCCUCACUGAGGGCGCCCCGUGAAACAAUCCUGUCAUACCUCGGAUUUUGGUGCCUUCAGUCUGAAAAAUACACACAUCCAUUUGGUACCCUAGAGGAACUGGAGAAUUGUCUUCCCCUGAAUGAAGCUGGACCAUUCUGGGAUUUGGAGAAAGGGCACUGGCACUCUGGGAGCUGGAGAGAUGCAGCUGGAAGAGCCCGCGCCCGGGGCACGAGGGGUCCCAUGCCAUGUCACGGGCUUGUCCCCAGCUGCCACCGUGCUGCUGGCUUGGCCGCCACUGCUGCUUACUGA
rnacentral:lncRNA from 1 species